UACAAAGCGUUUGCCAAACUGAGGAGGGGAAAACCAUCCUGCUUCCCAGUGCCUGUGUGAUGAGAAGCCAUAUUGUCGCAUCUUUUUCUGGGUGUUUUUUUAAAUUAUUUUUCACAUCAUGUUCUUCUCAAUUAGGGCGCAAGUAAGCAGCAACUUAAGGGGUGUAGUUAUGCCAAGUACUCAACCUUGGGUGUAUUGGUGUGUACCAUAAAUCAGCCAAAAAAAAGUGGAUGUCCAAUGUAGCCGCUAAAAAGCAUGAGUUCUUAUUAAAAAGUUGUAAAACUUUUUAUUUCCCAUAACUAAUACUCACUAUACAUGCUUUACAUUUUGAAACAACUGUACAAAUAUUUAUUCUCACAGUAUCCCUAUAGGCAACGAAUAGCAUUACCCCCUUUUUGUACAUAGGGAAAUGGAGGCACAGUGGUGAUGUAACUUGCCUAAGGUCACAGGAGGCCAGCGGCAGAGCUACGAUUGAAGUGAGGAGUCCUUGUGCUCAAAACUGGUUUCCACAGAUAUGGAAGCAGGAACUGAAACCCCGCAACUGAGAUCCAGAGUACUAACAAACUUACAAUGAUUUCUGCUUUUGUGGAAACAGGUACUGGAUCUUCAGAUAUAUAAGACUGUAGCUGUCCCCAAGUAAAGAAGACUCCUGCAGGUUCAGCAGGUAGAGAUGGGGAACCGGCGACAGAAGGAUUCCCUCCCUGCUGUAUAUCAGGUAGCAUAAGGAAGAUCACAUUCUUUAUUUCUUAAUUCACUGUUAUUGAAUGUUUGUAUAGUCCUGACACAAGGACUGCCUAGAGACCCUUGUGAGGCAUGGUGCUUGGCACCUGCCCCAAUGCUUCCAGGCUAAAGCAAUGUCUUCACUGCCAAAAAUGGUGCGUUUUUAACUGCAGGGAAACUAACAUGCAUUAGCUAGCCUGCUGUAAAACCCUAGUGGAGGCAAUGCACUGUAGUAUUCAGAUAAGGUCAACCACUGAUUUUAUAUCAGUGGUUGAUCUUAUCAGAAUAUUCAUAUUUUUUUCUUAUUUUUUAUAAUAAAAAAUGUUGAUGUCACUUGGUUAUCUUGUAAUGCUUUGUCUCCUAGGAUUUUACAGUAGACUAGCUAUGAUAUUACAUGUCAUACUAUUAAACAAAGGAAAACAUCUUUUUUGCAGUGGAGACUUAUACGCAGACAGAUUUGUGCUGUAAACAGGGGAGGAGAGCUCAGUGAGUGAGAUUAUUAAUUAGCAGUGGCCACAGGUGAGACCUGCUGCCCUCAUCUGCAAUCCUAGGCUCUCCUGCAGUAGCUCAGGUCACUUCAGAAAGAGUGGCAUAAGCUUGAGUGCAGCAGCAUGGAGGUUCUUCUGGCUGUAGAGGCUCCCAUUGGAAGUGGCUUAGGAAAUCUGCUACAUGAGAACAGAAACACAAUGGGAGCAAGCUUACCAGCCCCCACAAUCCUAGACUGUAGUAUUCCUGUGUUACCCAAUCUCCUCUAUGCUCAGCCUGCCUUAUUCCUCUACCUUACGCAGUUAUCCACUAUGCUGUGUAAAGAUUCGGUGCCCCACCCUAUUUUAAUUGGAACACCAAAAGCUUGUGAUCCCCAGCACAGAGCCUGUCAGAUCUCAGAUUUGGCAAAGCAGCCUCAACUGUUUCACUAUCAUUAAUGUGUUUAAACCCCCUCCAAAAUACCACAGCCCUCACUCAGCUAAGAGCAACAUGUAGAAAGGGCAAAGAGCCUAUAAACAUGAAAAUGAAUUUAAAGAAUAAUUUGACAACUUACCUUACUAGCAGAUAGUUGACAGCUUUUCUCAGUAUGUUUUGUUUGAUGGAAGGGCUGGGGAAGAGAAUACAAAUCUGUCUGUGUCCGCUCCUCAGCGAAUGUAACUUUUCCCCUUAAGUAACUAUGUAGCUAAAUGUGGCACUGAACUAUGUAUUCAUUCCAAAUAAGAAUGAAACUAAGAGGAUCUUAAUGCAUCCUGGACACUUUAGGAAUAUACUGUACUUUCUUUGAUGCAUUGUUUUGCAACUAUGAUUGAUCGCUUGAAAAAUUAAACUACUGUACAUUUCACUUCCUUACAAAAGACUUGAGAUGAAGUAUUGGUCAAAGCUAUAAGGGAGAAAGACCAUAAUCAACAGAGCUGUAAGAGUACUACUUAGUCCCCAUUGGCACUACAGGAGGUCUGAGGGUACCAAAUGCAAAAGGAACAGUCAAACAGGAAGUUUGAAAAGUAGGGAUCCUUUUGGCCAUGUCCCUGUCAGGGAUUUAUUGCUCUGAGAUUUAGGACUAACGGUUGCACCAUUUUCUGGCUAAGAAUCACUGGGUCUAGUAUUGUCUAUUGAUGUUGACAUUAUCCACUCCGAGGCCACCACUACCUGUCUAUCAGUACUAAAGAGAAACUAAAGCCACCUUUCUUAUACUGAUUUAAAAUCAUGCAGCAAAGAUGUGUACCUCCAUGGUUUCAGUAAUUGGGACACAGUCAGGUCAAAUUUGGCCUCAAAUAUGGGUUUUGUAAGUAAAUACAUAAAACGUUUCCAUUUGAACACUAAGGGAGGGGCUUUUAAAACAAUGUUUCCCCUGCAGCGUUUGCAGUUUUAACAGUAUCAUUAGAGGCUAAAGUGUGAGACUCCUGAUGUGAAAUAGACAGCUUGGCAAAUCCAUUUCCAGUGUCAAAACAGUAACCCAAGAAGCAAAACCCCGUAAGUAGUGAAGUUUAAAUUUAAAACUUCAGUUUUAAAACGAAGACAUUUGUAAGAGACAAGGAAACUUUAUAAAAUGUAUGUAUUUUUAGUCAAUGGGAUUAAAGGUGUCUACAAAGAAUCUUAAUGGAGCUUGGCUCUUUCUUUGAUGUAUACAUGCAAGCUGCAUGAGUAAACUUUUUUCUGCUUGUUUACCUUAGAAAAAAAAAUCAGAGCUUGCCUGAUGUUUUUGAGACAUUGGGAAGUCCAAGGGGUCUUUAUUGUAAGAUGACCACCUUAGUUGGAGGGGGAGGAUGAUGAAUCU